rnacentral:tRNA from 2 species
GGUGAGAUUGGCCGAGCGGUCCGGGGCGCUAGUUUAGGGUUCUGGUCUCGAAAGGGGCGUGGGUCCGAAUCCCACUCUCAUCA